rnacentral:rRNA from 1 species
CCUACGGGUGGCAGCAGUAGGGAAUAUUGCUCAAUGGGGGAAACCCUGAAGCAGCAACGCCGCGUGGAGGAUGAAGGUUUUCGGAUUGUAAACUCCUUUUGUUAGAGAAGAUAAUGACGGUAUCUAACGAAUACUCACCGGCUAACUCCGUGCCAGCAGCCGCGGUAAUACGGAGGGUGCAAGCGUUACGCGGAAUUACUGGGGGUAAGGAGCGAGUAGGCGGGAUAGCAAGUCAGAUGUGAAAUCCUAUGGCGUAACCAGGGAACUGCAUUUGAAACUGUUAUGCUAGAGUGUGGGAGAGGGAGGUGGAAUUCUUGGUGUAGGGGUAAAAUGCGUAGAGAGCAAGAGGAAGA